GGUGAACGCUGGCGGCGUGCUUAAGACAUGCGAGUCGAACGGCAGUCUUCGGACUGUAGUGGCGCACGGGUGAGUAACGCGUAACUGACCUACCCCAAAGUCGCGGAUAACGAUUCGAAAGAAUCGCAAUACGUGAUGUGCUGUCAGAUUGUGUUCUGCCAGUAAAGAUUGAUUGCUUUGGGAUGGGGUUGCGUUCCAUCAGCUAGUUGGUGGGGUAAAGGCCCACCAAGGCGACGACGGAUAGCCGGCCUGAGAGGGUGGCCGGCCACAGGGGCACUGAGACACGGGUCCCACUCCUACGGGAGGCAGCAGUUAGGAAUCUUCCACAAUGGGCGAAAGCCUGAUGGAGCGACGCCGCGUGAGGGAUGAAGGUCUUCGGAUCGUAAACCUCUGAAUCAGGGACGAAAGACACUUCGGUGGGAUGACGGUACCUGAGUAAUAGCACCGGCUAACUCCGUGCCAGCCGCCGCGGUAAAAC
rnacentral:rRNA from 1 species